AGAGAGAGAGAGAGAGAGAGAGAGAGAGAGAGAGAGAAUAUAAUUAUUAUAUAAUCUUAAUAGCCUUAAUCUAAUUAACAUAUUUAAUAUAUAACCUUAUAACAAUCGACUUAGAGUUGGUUCGGACAAGGGGAAUCUGACUAUUUAAUUAAAACAAAGAAUUGCGAUGGUAUUUGUGGAUGAUGACGCAAUGUGAUAUUUGCCCAGUGAUUUGAAUGUUAAAGUGAAGAAAUUCAACCAAGAACGGGUAAACAACGGGAGUAAAUAUGACUUUCUUAAGGUAGCCAAAUGCCUCGUCAUCUAAUUACUGAUGCACAUCCCAAUGGAUUAACUAGAUUCCCACUAUCCCUAUCUAUUUUCUAGUGAAUCCACGACCAAGGGAAUGGGCUUGGCAUAAUCAACAGGGAAAGAAGACCUUGUUGAUCUUGACUCUAGUAUGACUUUGUGAAAUGACUUGAGAGGUGUAGAAUAAGUGGGAUUCUUUUUCGGCACAAAUGAAAUACAACUACUUUUAACGUUAUUUUACUUAUUAUGUGGGGCGGAGAGGGGCAUUUACCCUAUUUUUGUCCUUAAGACACAUUUCGAUGGGUCAAUCUGGGCGAAAGACAUUGUCGGGUGGAGAUUUUGGAUGGGGUGACACAUAUGUUAAAAGAUAACAUAAAAUAUAAUUGGUGUAGAUAGAACAUUUGUAUUUGGGAGAUCCUAGUGCACAAUCACCAUUAUUACAUUUCCCUCCUAAUUUGUAGUUACAUCCAAUCAUUUCUAAAUUGAA
rnacentral:ncRNA from 1 species